rnacentral:rRNA from 1 species
UACGUAGGUGGCAAGCGUUGUCCGGAAUUACUGGGCGUAAAGGGCGAGUAGGCGGUAAUACAAGUCAGAUGUGAAAGGCGAGGGCUCAACCCUCGGAUUGCAUUUGAAACUGUAAGACUUGAGUGCGGUAGAGGAAAGUGGAAUUCCCAGUGUAGCGGUGAAAUGCGUAGAUAUUGGGAGGAACACCAGUGGCGAAGGCGACUUUCUGGGCCGUAACUGACGCUGAGGCGCGAAAGCGUGGGGAG